rnacentral:rRNA from 1 species
UUCCCUAGUACUGCGAGUGAGCGGGAAAAGCUCAAAUUUAAAAUCCUUCGGGAGUUGUAAUCUAUAGAAGUGUUUUCGGUCGUUGCCUCGGACAAGUCUCUUGGAACAGAGCGUCAUAGAGGGUGAGAAUCCCGUCCUUGCCGAGCUCCCAACGUCUAUGUGAUACACUUUCAAAGAGUCGAGUUGUUUGGGAAUGCAGCUCAAAAUGGGUGGUAAACUCCAUCUAAAGCUAAAUAUUGGCGAGAGACCGAUAGCGAACAAGUACCGUGAGGGAAAGAUGAAAAGCACUUUGGAAAGAGAGUUAAACAGUACGUGAAAUUGUUGAAAGGGAAGCGCUUGGAGUCAGUCGCGUUGCAAGGACUCAGCCUCACGGUGUAUUUCUUUGCAACGGGUCAACAUCAGUUUCGACCGCGGAAAAAGGGCUUGAGGAAUGUGGCAACCUCGGUUGUGUUAUAGCCUCCUGUCGUACGCCGCGGUUGGGACUGAGGUCUGCUUACAGGAUGUUGACGAAAUGGCUCUAAGCGACCCNUCUUGAAACACGGACCA